GACGAACGCUGGCGGCGUGCUUAACACAUGCAAGUCGAACGGAAAGGCCCUGCUUUUGUGGGGUGCUCGAGUGGCGAACGGGUGAGUAACACGUGAGUAACCUGCCCUUGACUUUGGGAUAACUUCAGGAAACUGGGGCUAAUACCGGAUAGGAGCUCCUGCUGCAUGGUGGGGGUUGGAAAGUUUCGGCGGUUGGGGAUGGACUCGCGGCUUAUCAGCUUGUUGGUGGGGUAGUGGCUUACCAAGGCUUUGACGGGUAGCCGGCAUGGGAGGGUGACCGGCCACAUUGGGACUGAGAUACGGCCCAGACUCCUACGGGAGGCAGCAGUGGGGAAUAUUGCACAAUGGGCGGAAGCCUGAUGCAGCAACGCCGGGUGCGGGAUGACGGCCUUCGGGUUGUAAACCGCUUUCGCCUGUGACGAAGCGUGAGUGACGGUAAUGGGUAAAGAAGCACCGGCUAACUACGUG
rnacentral:rRNA from 1 species